GUUUUAAUAAUUUAAAAAAAAUGUUAGUCUUGUAAACUAGAAUUAGGAUUUUUCCUUUAAAACU
rnacentral:tRNA from 1 species